GCCGGGGCUUCUUCUGCAGGUACCGUCAUCAUCUUCCCUGCUGAAAGAGCUUUACAACCCUAAAGCCUUCUUCACUCACGCGGCAUGGCUGGAUCAGGCUUGCGCCCAUUGUCCAAUAUUCCCC
rnacentral:rRNA from 1 species